rnacentral:rRNA from 1 species
GACGAACGCUGGCGGCGUGCUUAACACAUGCAAGUCGAACGGAAAGGCCCUGCUUUUGUGGGGUGCUCGAGUGGCUAACGGGUGAGUAACACGUGAGUAACCUGCCCUUGACUUUGGGAUAACUUCAGGAAACUGGGGCUAAUACCGGAUAGGAGCUCCUGCUGCAUGGUGGGGGUUGGAAAGUUUCGGCGGUUGGGGAAGGACUCGCGGCUUAUCAGCUUGUUGGUGGGGUAGUGGCUUACCAAGGCUUUGACGGGUAGCCGGCCUGAGAGGGGGACCGGCCACAUUGGGACUGAGAUACGGCCCAGACUCCUACGGGAGGCAGCAGUGGGGAAUAUUGCACAAUGGGCGGAAGCCUGAUGCAGCAACGCCGCGUGCGGGAUGACGGCCUUCGGGUUGUAAACCGCUUUCGCCUGUGACGAAGCGUGAGUGACGGUAAUGGGUAAAGAAGCACCGGCUAACUACGUG